rnacentral:misc_RNA from 1 species
CUGAUUCUAUCUCUAUAUAUUGCUGUCUUCAGAAAUUGUACAAGUUGAUACAUUCUUGUUUUUCAAGUGCAAAUUUGGCCUUUUGUGUUUUGAAUUUGAAUUUCAAAGGCAAUAAUUUGUUAAGAACAGGGAGACAGUUGAGUAGGAUGUUUAACGGAAUGAUGGAUCCUGAGUUGAUCAGACUUGCUCAGGAGCAAAUGAGUCGCAUGUCAACCGCCGAGUUAGCCAGGAUCCAACAACAGAUGAUGUCUAAUCCAGAGUUGAUGAAAAUGGCCUCAGAAAGCAUGAAGAACAUGAGGCCUGAAGACUUGAGACAGGCUGCGGAACAGUUAAAGCAGAACAGUUAAAGUAUACCGGUCAUGAGGAUAUGGCUAAGAUUGGUGAGAAAAUGGCCAAUGCAUCA